UGACUACUGUAGUCGGAAACUUAAGUUAUUUUCUGUCUAAUUCCCUUACUUUUCUAAUACUUUUUCCCACACACACUCUCUCUCUCUCUCUUACUGUUUGUCUCUCUCUACACGCUCUCUUCAGCUGUCCCGUUAAUCAAUGGCGCCGGCGAAAUCAUAUCCAACAGCACCGGCAAAAUCAGCGAUUGUUCUUCAUCAGUGGGUAGCCUCCUUGGAGUGAAAUUAGAAGUUGACUGUAUAGGAAUUUGUCUCCAACAAGAGGAAGUUGCAAGCUGUAAGGGAGAGGAGAUAUAACAUUUCAAUUAGUAAUUUCGUUGUUAUAAGAUUUGGUGGUGGGGGUAGUAAAAAGAGCAGAGAAUAAUUUUGAAAAUUCUCGAUUCAAUGAAAUGAUGAGAGAUGCUUUUGAGAUAUUCCCUGGGGCUCAAUGCGAACCAAAUUCCAAACCAAAUGAUGAGGCUAAGCACUUUUAUGGACAACUACAGGAAGCUAGUCGCCCACUGUAUGAAGGCUCAAUGCAUUUCACCAAAAGAUAUUGUCGGAACGAUGUGAAACAGUCAAAGUUCACAUUGUUAGAGUGACAAAAUUCAUGAAAAAGCACACGUCCCACUCUUAUGAUGAUGAAGAGACUGAAUCUGAUGUCUAGUAGUAUGUUUUGGUUGAUUAAUGUUCUUGGGUAUUUAGAAUUUAUAUUUAGACUUUAUUUGUAAGUUUAGAUGUUAUGGUAUACAUGUUUAGACUUUAUUAUAUUAGAGUCGAUAUCUAUUUGCUACUUAGACUUGAUAUUGAAUAUUUAGAUUUUAAUUAAUGUUUUAGUUUGAUA